UACGGGGGGGGGCAAGCGUUGUUCGGAAUUACUGGGCGUAAAGGGUUCGUAGGUGGCUUGCUAAGUCAGACGUGAAAUCCCUCAGCUUAACUGGGGAACUGCGUCUGAUACUGGCGAGCUUGAGUGCAGGAGAGGAACGCGGAAUUCCAGGUGUAGCGGUGAAAUGCGUAGAUAUCAGGAGGAACACCGGUGGCGAAGGCGGCUAUCUGGACAGAGUCUGACGCUGAGGCGCGAAAGCUAGGGGAGCAAACAGG
rnacentral:rRNA from 1 species